AUUGAAGACUAACUACUGCGAAAGCAUUUGCCAAGGAUGUUUUCAUUAAUCAGGAACGAAAGUUAGGGGAUCGAAGACGAUCAGAUACCGUCGUAGUCUUAACCAUAAACUAUGCCGACUAGGGAUCGGACGAUGUUAUUUUUUGACUCGUUCGGCACCUUACGAGAAAUCAAAGUGCUUGGGCUCCAGGGGGAGUAUGGUCGCAAGGCUGAAACUUAAAGAAAUUGACGGAAGGGCACCACCAGGGGUGGAGCCUGCGGCUUAAUUUGACUCAACACGGGGAAACUCACCAGGUCCAGACACAAUGAGGAUUGACAGAUUGAGAGCUCUUUCUUGAUUUUGUGGGUGGUGGUGCAUGGCCGUUCUUAGUUGGUGGAGUGAUUUGUCUGCUUAAUUGCGAUAACGAACGAGACCUUAACCUGCUAAAUAGCCCGUAUUGCUUUGGCAGUACGCUGGCUUCUUAGAGGGACUAUCGGCUCAAGCCGAUAAAAGUUUGAGGCAAUAACAGGUCUGUGAUGCCCUUAGAUGUUCUAGCCGCACGCGCGCUACACUGACGAAGCCAGCGAGUACUUCCCUGGCCGUAAGGCCCCGGCUUCAUCUGAGUCGCCCCACCUA
rnacentral:rRNA from 1 species